rnacentral:piRNA from 1 species
UCAUCAAGGCGGGAGCAUGGCAGCC